rnacentral:rRNA from 1 species
CAGCCCUACGGGAGGCAGCAGUCGGGAAUAUUGCGCAAUGGAGGAAACUCUGACGCAGUGACGCCGCGUGCAGGAAGAAGGUUUUCGGAUUGUAAACUGCUUUAGACAGGGAAGAAAAAAGACAGUACCUGUAGAAUAGGCUCCGGCUAACUACGUGCCAGCAGCCGCGGUAAUACGUAGGGAGCAAGCGUUAUCCGGAUUUAUUGGGUGUAAAGGGUGCGUAGACGGGAAUGCAAGUUAGUUGUGAAAUCCCUCGGCUCAACUGAGGAACUGCAACUAAAACUGAUUUUCUUGAGUGCAGGAGA